CCUGUCAUUUUUGAGAGAUUUAGUAGUGGAGGCGUCGAGCACGUCGGGGAAACAAGUGGACGACACAAUGCUCGCACUCGACCGAGCGGUCGGGCGCGUUAAUAACUCAAAGGCUCUUGGGUACGCGUUGGGUCGGCUGUCUUUGUUUGAUAACGUCAGAAGUGAGAAGUCGUAUGCUCACAAUUCUUGCGUUAUACGUUGAAGUAAAACAAUAUAUUCAUAAAACGAUACUUGUGAUUAAUUCAGCAAAUUUGCAAAAUGUUUCGAACGUUCUCCUCUUGCUGUUAAAAUCAAUGAAUAACUAUGAAAUUAGCGUGACUACAUGCAACUCAGGUUUUAACCAAACAUUACUCAUCAUUUUUGUUGAUUUCAUGGCUAUUUAUUGAUUGUGACAGCAAAAGAAGAGCGUUCGGACCACUUUACAAAGUUGCUGAAUCGAUUACAGAUGUAGUUAUGUGUACGUAUCUUGUUAUUUCAACGUAUAACGCAAAAAUCGCGGGCAUGCGAUUUCUCGCUUCUAAUGUCAUCAAGCAAGGACAACUUACGCGAGUAGCUCAGAGGCUUUAAUAUAGUGCGCGCAGCACGAUACGUAUGAUUUCAAUAACAUCGACUCGUACGUCACACGACAAACAAUGAUCUACUCACUGUUUGUCGACGCUGUGAUCAAGCCGGAGAUCUCCAAGUCGAUCUCUGUGGGGAACGAAUAAUCGACUGAAAACGCCAACGGCGAGAUAUAUGUUGUAUCCUUAAGGAUAUGCUGGAAUUAAUCAUCAAGAACGCUUACUGUCAAGAGUAAAAAACAAAGAGAUAGCUAUCAAGUUGCUUGUUAAACGGAGUUUGGUAAAGUUCCUUACUGCACUUGGCGACUUUGCACAGAUAUGAGAUUUAUGUUUACCUUGGGAUGAAGAGUCGUAGAGGUGUCGUUGCUGCUAAAGUCCUGCAUACCAUCAGGCGUAGCGUAUCCUAGCUCACACGCGACUUCGUGUGCUAAUCUCUCCGCAGUUUCGUCGCCAUACAGCAAUAACUGCAAAGACAUAUCGCAAUUAACAUAUUUGAAAGAAACGUUUGGGGUACCUCUGGCAGUCGUCUGAGCUCACCAGAUCCGGUUCGUAGAAACCGCCGCUCGGCGAUUUAAAAUUGUAGCCGUACUGGUUCCCCAAGACAGUCGUUAAGCGUACUAGCACAUGAAACUGUUCCAUAGUCUGCGCCACGUAAGUGCGCGAAAGAUGCGACAGGAACUGUUUAUUGUCGACGACGAUAAAACUCCUUCGAUAGGCGGGCAAUCUGAAAAGCCAUGCUUGCGUUGCUUCAAAUACGAGAACUCCAAGCAGUGCUUCAAUCUACGGCCGCCGGCGUAAUUCACGAAAGUCCUUUGUAAACUGGGAUAUAGAACAACCGGAAAGGAAGCCUCGCUCAGUUGAUUAUCGAUCUGCGGCGAAAGAAAUGUUACAAGAAUAUUAUUACAAACUAGCGUACAGCGAAUUGCAAAACAGUUUAGAUAUAAUGAAGUUGGGAGCUCAAAAAAUCGUCAAAAUUGAAAGUCCAUCGUUAUCGAUGGACUUACGCAAUAAUAUUAUAAUUAAUGAUAUAAUUAAGAACACUAAAUAGUAAUAAAUAAUAAUAAGAAUUAAUAAUAUAUCUGUUAGGCAAGCUUGUCACAACAGGAGUGAUUCUCAAUUUUGAUAGUUUGGUAUAACAUAGCGUCGUGGAUUCCCUGCAAUGCAGCCAAAUACCCGGAGAGUACGUUCUUCGUAGCUUUCCGAAGAAUGGCUUAGUCAUCUGCAUCUUCAUGAAGUCAACCUACAAAAUGUCAGAAAAGGAUUGUCAAAAACGCUCGAAAGAUAGCGGUGAAAUGCAUAUAUUCCAAGCGCUGAGCUCCAACGACAGACUUUUCCAUCGUUUGCUGAAGUAAAGCUCCCAGUGUGCAACCGAAUCGAUCACACUAGCGUACAGCAACUCUCGUCUGGAGCUGUGAAGACUGGCGUUAGACUCCUGCACGACCUGUAAAAGAAGGAGAGCAAUCAGUUUUCAAUUGAUCACACUUAAAAUAAAUAUAAAAUACUCGACUUACAAAGUAGUGUACACACUCUCGUGCUGUGUGAACAGCAACACGCGUUGUUCACUUUCCAUAUAGCUCACCCAGUAAACUUCCGCUUCGUCCUGUCGCACGUUCUCUAACUUUUGCGUCUUCGUCUCGGAUUCUGCGUUGGCAAGAUGAGUGGUACUUCCGCUCGGGUCUUCCGACCACGACUUCGCAUAUGACAACGAUUUGGAAUUGACAGAGGAAUACGUUGACGCGCUGUUACGCCGCUCAACGGUUAUAAAUGACACCUUCUCGUGUCCGCAGCCAUCCUGAAAGCAGACGAAAAUGCUAACAAUAGAUAAUGCGUUCGAACGAGAAGAGUAACAAUAAAGUCAUAAUUGCAGAAAUUGUUGCGUGUACAAAAGUGCGAAAAUUAUUAGAACAAUUUUCACAUCUCUAUGUGUGUACAUAGAAAAAUCGAAAAUCAAGACUAGAAAUACUUUUGUAUUAGGUUCAUUCAAAAGUUUUUUUCAUAAACACUGAACAAGUAUUGAUAUGAAUAAAGUAUUUUUUAGAAACACUUAUACUUUAAAAAUAGAAAUAUACUGACAAAUGAAAUAUGUAUCUUAUGGGAAAUAUAUUAACUUAAUUUCAACAAUAUAUCCUACCGACUCAAAUUCUGCUUUAUAACCGAUGGCAUUGUUAUUGUAGACGUUCCAGAUCAGUUCUCUGCUCUGCGUAGGAUCGUCCCAGGUGUACAGCAAGCUUUGGAACGGCUUAAGCAAGGCAACUUGGCCUAAAUUGACUUGGCUCAGCUUCAGGAACAGCUUGUCGCAGAGGUUGUCCACCCUUACGGGUAUGUCGCCGGCGUUGUGUUUUCGGAACAUGACGCGAUAUGGAGUAUUGACGCCACCUUCGAUCUCCACACACAGCGCCGACUGCGAAUAUUGUAAAAUCGAGUCGGGCUCAAUGAUCGCCAUUCUCACAUUAUCGUCGAACGGAUUUGUGGUCUCACCGGCCGGUGUCAGACCCAACUUAUCUACCACCGCUUUUUUAUAAUAAAGGCCCAGUGCGUACGAUGUUUCGUUUUGGAACUGAAAUGUGAUGUUUCAUAUUACACGAAUAUUAGCGACGAUAAAAUGAAUAGAGCGACAGAACAGAUCAAGUCUCACCUGCAACGGAGAUCGCACGCAAAUCGUACGGUGCAGAUAACUGUUUAUUGACGCCUCUAUCACCAGCGAAAUACGGAAAUGUUACCUUCAAAAAUGACGCGAAGAAGUUCAUCCGUUACCAAUUUGUAGAUAUGGACCGGCGAAUCAAUCGGAAAAGCCUUGCAUUCUGGUACAACUAAAUGAAUUUCCUUGCCAACCCACUGAGGACUCGUGAGAUC